rnacentral:lncRNA from 1 species
AGAAGAUUCUUUUUCUCUCUACCUUCUCUUUACUUUCACUCUUUUGCUAGUGUAUAAUAAAGAGAGAAUUUAUCGUAUAGCUCUUAAAUAAAUUCGCGAUUAUGACAUCAUCCUUGUUAUUACGAGACGAUGAUGUUUAUCGAGUGAAGGUCGUUGUGUGACAUAUGAGUUGGUUGUCCUCUUAACCAAGGAGUGUGGUGACACUAGUAUGGAAUACAGGUG